rnacentral:rRNA from 1 species
UAUAUUAAACGGCCGCGAAAGUGCUAAGGUAGCGAAAUCAUUUGUCUUUUUAUUGAAGACCAGUAUGAAGGAUUAACGAAGCUUAACUGUCUCAUUUUUAAUAUAAAAAUUGAUUUUGAAAUGAAAAAUUUUCAAUUUCUAAGAAGGACGAGAAGACCCUAUAGAGUUUUAUGAAUUCAUUUUAUUGGGGCAAUAUUGGAAAAAAAAAACCCUUAAUUUAAAAAUCCCCCCAAAGAAAAAAAAAAAACC